GGCAGUGGGACACUCAGGUUUCCUGCAGAUGGGAAAGCUCAGGAGGGGUUUUUGUUGUAAAACACUGCUUGGAACGUGGUUCCUGUUGAAGAGCAGCUCUGUCCCAGUGCAGAGGGAGGGAUGAGCCCCUUGGAGCUGUGUCCUUGAGGGAGUGCAGCAUCACCCCGAUGCUGGCUGUGACUGGGAUGCCUCAGAGAGCCUCAGCAGCCAAAACACAGGAUGGAGCAGGGUCUGUCCCACGUUCCCAGCGCUCCUGCAGGAGCUGAGGGAUGCUGCAGGAUGCCCACAUCCCUGGAUGUGCUCCUCUCUCCCGCUACCACCGCAAUCUGGAUAAAUUGUUCCUCUUCAGAAAAGGCACCAAAAAUGGGAAAGGAAUGGGGAAAAAAGUGGGAAAGGAGGCCUGGUGUGGGAAGGGAAACCAGCUCUGUUCAUCGAUAGGAGGUGAGAUGCUCGGGCCGGUGCAAUUACGGUGAUGAGAUGCGUGGGUAGUUAGCACAUCGCUGCUAAUUAAUUAAUCUGCGGUGUUACAGGAGCUGGCAAAGGGCUGCCGGCGCCGAGACUCCGGCAAUAAUUCACCCAGCAGAGAAAAUGAACCAUAAUGAGAGCUGAUGGACAGCUUCAACAGGCAGGACUGCACCCUGUGUGGGAAUAGCACUGGAGCUUCCCACUGCCCCAGACACCAGAGUGGAAGGAAGGAAAUCCCUUUAAUUUUUUAGCCAAACUGUGCUGAUUUAUUUGGGAAACCAAAAUUUAUAUGGUGUUAGCACCUUUUACUUUAAAAAUGCCUUAUAAAGCUGAACAGCACCCCCAGCACAGGGACACCUCCACCCUGCAGGUGAGGGGGAAUGAUGGGGAGGUGGCAUCCCCACAUCCCACCAGGGCAGGAGCCUGUGGGGCACCCUGUGUCCUCUUGAUGUUGUCCAGGCCAUGCCAUGUGAUGUUUGUGAUGCGGUCAGCAGAGAUGGGCACAGGGUGUCCAUGCCUGGAUGUCACCUGAGCUGUGCGAGGUCACCUGUGCUGCGCCCGUGGUCCUCGAGCACCCCACAGAUGUCACAUCAGGGACUCUCUCAGUGCAUCCCCCCACCGUGUGCAGUACCCUGGAGCCAAAGGAGCUGCAGCAAGGAGCCAAGGGCUGAGGAGAGGCAGAGAGGAGCUGUCCCAGCUGCAGGUCACAUCCCCACAGCUGGAACCCUUCUCCAUGCUGGCCUGGGUGCAGGUGAGCUGCUCCUGACAUCAGCCAGGUCUGUGGAAGGGGCAGGGAAGCAGAUUCCUGAAGUUAGAAGAGCAAAAUUUCCAUUUUCCUGCCCUCCCAAGCUCUGGGAGGGAGAGCUGUGGCUGCAAUGUGGGCAGGAGCCACCUGUGUCAUCGUGCCUCAGUUUCCCCAGACACAGGCUCUCACUCUGA
rnacentral:lncRNA from 1 species